rnacentral:rRNA from 1 species
GUUCUGUAUGGAAGGGCCAUCGCUCAACGGAUAAAAGGUACUCUGGGGAUAACAGGCUGAUACCGCCCAAGAGUUCAUAUCGACGGCGGUGUUUGGCACCUCGAUGUCGGCUCAUCUCAUCCUGGGGCUGUAGCCGGUCCCAAGGGUAUGGCUGUUCGCCAUUUAAAGAGGUACGUGAGCUGGGUUUAAAACGUCGUGAGACAGUUUGGUCCCUAUCUGCCGUGGGCGUUGGAUAUUUGAAGGGGGCUGCUCCUAGUACGAGAGGACCGGAGUGGACGAACCUCUGGUGUACCGGUUGUCACGCCAGUGGCAUCGCCGGGUAGCUAUGUUCGGAAGAGAUAACCGCUGAAAGCAUCUAAGCGGGAAACUCGCCUUAAGAUGAGAUAUCCCUGGGGACUAGAUCCCCUUGAAGGGUCGUUCGAGACCAGGACGUUGAUAGGUCAGGUGUGUAAGCGCAGUAAUGCGUUCAGCUAACUGAUACUAAUUGCCCGUAAGGCUUGAUCCUAUAACA